rnacentral:rRNA from 1 species
GACGGAGGGUGCGAGCGUUGUCCGGAAUCACUGGGCGUAAAGGGCGCGUAGGCGGCGCGGAUAGUCGGCGGUGAAAGCCCGGAGCUCAACUCCGGGUCGGCCGUCGAUACUUCCGGGCUUGAGCACUGUAGAGGCAGAUGGAAUUCCGGGUGUAGCGGUGGAAUGCGUAGAGAUCCGGAAGAACACCGGUGGCGAAGGCGGUCUGCUGGGCAGUUGCUGACGCUGAUGCGCGACAGCGUGGGGAGCAAACAGG